AUUGAACGCUGGCGGCGUGCCUAAUACAUGCAAGUCGAGCGGACAGAAGGGAGCUUGCUCCCGGAAGUUAGCGGCGGACGGGUGAGUAACACGUGGGCAACCUACCCUGUAGAUCGGGAUAACAUCGAGAAAUCGGUGCUAAUACCGGAUAAUCAUUUGAAGUGCAUGCUUCGAAUGUAAAAGAUGGCCCCGGCUAUCACUACGGGAUGGGCCCGCGGCGCAUUAGCUAGUUGGUAAGGUAAUGGCUUACCAAGGCAACGAUGCGUAGCCGACCUGAGAGGGUGAUCGGCCACACUGGGACUGAGACACGGCCCAGACUCCUACGGGAGGCAGCAGUAGGGAAUCUUCCGCAAUGGACGAAAGUCUGACGGAGCAACGCCGCGUGAGUGAUGAAGGUUUUCGGAUCGUAAAGCUCUGUUGUUAGGGAAGAACAAGUGCCGUUUGAAUAAGGCGGCACCUUGACGGUACCUAACCAGAAAGCCACGGCUAACUACGUGCCAGCCGCCGCCGUAAAAC
rnacentral:rRNA from 1 species